rnacentral:rRNA from 1 species
AGCUCUGUAAGCGUAUACCAAAGUUGUUGCAGUUAAAACGCUCGUAGUCGGAUUUUGGCAGUCUCGGGAGUGUGCGCGUCGUGCGCGUGCUUCGCAGGGGCUGCUUUUGUGGGUCAUGCGUCGGAUGAGGCGACUUUAUUGUUGAACGUCCGCACGCUACCACCGUUUACUGUGAAAAAAUUAAAGUGUUCAAAGCAGGCAUCUGUCAUGAAUACAUUAGCAUGGAAUAAUUGAAUAGGACUUGGUCUUAUUUUGUUGGUUUGUUAUGGCUGAGUAAUGAUUAAAAGGGACAGUUGGGGGCAUUUGUAUUUCAGAGCUAGAGGUGAAAUUCUUAGAUUUCUGAAAGACAAACCGCUGCGAAAGCGUCUGCCAAGGAUGUUUUCAUUGAUCAAGAACGAAA